rnacentral:rRNA from 1 species
AUUGAACGCUGGCGGCAGGCCUAACACAUGCAAGUCGAACGGUAACAGGAAACAGCUUGCUGUUUCGCUGACGAGUGGCGGACGGGUGAGUAAUGUCUGGGAAACUGCCUGAUGGAGGGGGAUAACUACUGGAAACGGUAGCUAAUACCGCAUAACGUCGCAAGACCAAGAGGGGGACCCUCGGGCCUCUUGCCAUCGGAUGUGCCCAGAUGGGAUUAGCUUGUUGGUGGGGUAACGGCUCACCAAGGCGACGAUCCCUAGCUGGUCUGAGAGGAUGACCAGCCACACUGGAACUGAGACACGGUCCAGACGCCUACGGGAGGCAGCAGUGGGGAAUAUUGCACAAUGGGCGCAAGCCUGAUGCAGCCAUGCCGCGUGUAUGAAGAAGGCCUUCGGGUUGUAAAGUACUUUCAGCGGGGAGGAAGGGAGUAAAGUUAAUACCUUUGCUCAUUGACGUUACCCGCAGAAGAAGCACCGGCUAACUCCGUG